GCCCUGUGGUGGGUACUUGUGAACCCAGCGCCCGGGGAGGCUGAGGGCAGCAGAUCGCUUGAGCUCAGGAGUCCUGUGCUGCAGGAGGCUGUGCUGAGCGAGUGUACGCGCUAAGGGCCGCAUCAACAUGGGGUCCCUGGGGAGCCUGGGGUCCCCAGGUUGCCUAAGGAGGGGCAAAUUGGCUCAGGUCCAGAACGGAGCAGGUCAAAGCUCCCAUGUUGCUCAGUAGUGGGUUAGCGCAUGUAGUGGGAUAGCGUAGCCCCUGCAGCGCAACCUGGGCGAGACACGGAGACCCGGCCUCUU
rfam:Pelodiscus sinensis unplaced genomic scaffold scaffold108, whole genome shotgun sequence.